CUCCAUCUCCUGACUUCGUGAUCUGCCCGCCUCGGCCUUCCAGAGUGCUGGGGAUUACAGGUGUGAGCCACUGUGCCUGGCCGACAGAGGAUAUAUUUUUGAGCUCUACCUUUCAGAGUUCUUUUCUCUAGCCCUGGCCUGGGUCCCAAACAGGGAACUUAAUUCACUCUAUCACUGAAGUAUACUCUUGCUUUGAUGCCAUUGGUAUGUUGUCCUAGAGAUUUGCUGUGGCUGCCAGGAGUGUUUCAUAGUUAAGAACUGAUGCAACCUCUCUUUUGUCAGUUGAUGAGUCUAUAAACCAUCUUGUUUCCUUUAGUAUCAUCUCCCUGGAACUGGAAGGUCAGACAGGAAGUUUUCUUAGAUUCUAAGUCUCAGUCUUUGGUAUCUACCUUUGUCUGUCUCCCAUGUCACCUGCUGUUUUUUUUUUCCCACCUGUUUUUCAUUUUAAUGUUUUUAUUGGAUAGGUGUCUAUUAUUGCAGGCUACCUCAACACAUUUUUGCAUGUAGACAGGAUAUAAGUAUGAAUAAUAUGUAAAAGAUAACUUGCUCUAGUUCUUUUGAGCAGAGGAUUUGGUUUCGAUAUGUGGCCCUAAUAAAGCUUUUGUGAAGUCCAAGUACUUUGUGAACUUCAGUUCCCUCACCUGUAAAAUGGAGUUAGUUGUUAGUAAUAUCUGUUCUGCCUAACUCAGGAGAUUGUUUUGAGGAUGAAAUGAAAUCAUGAAUGUAAUGGAAUUUUGUAAAUUUUAAAUGAAAUAUUGUAUUACCUAAGAUUUUUUUUUUUAAACGCUGUAUUAAGAAUGGAAUGAAUCUGGGUUUUCCUUUGAAAUCCCAAAUGUUUAAUGUACAGAGAAGUUUUAAUGUGUCUGUUGGGGAGCUUCAUUAGGAUUGUUUUCUAUCUUUAAUUGGCCAGUAUUGUUUUAUAUUUUAGCAUUUUUGGGGACCAUCAACAUUUGUGUUUCAGUUAUCAUUAAUAUUUUACAAAGUUAUUGAAUGUGCAUGAUUUAGUCUUUAACAAUCUCUUCAAUUAUUUACAUUCCCAUGUAAAAAAUGAAGUAAUGAAGGUCCAUGUAAAUAACAUUCCCAUGCUUAGUGAAGCAUAAUUUCUUGACAUUGCAGUUUCUAAGUGCCCUGUCUUGAGAUUGGGAAAGCUAAAGGACAGUUAAAGGGCAGUCAGAGGUCAAGGUCAGCAAAGCAUCACCUUUGACAUUUGAAAUCCAGCAGCAGGUAUCACAGUGAACCCCAUUCCAGCAUCCAGGAAGUUUCUCUGCCCUGCCUCUCCUCCAGCCACCUCAGAAUCUGUGUCUGCAGUGUUGGUCCUGCUUUCCUGUCUCUCCUCUGCCUUUUCUUUCUCUUCACCAACUUCUACCGAGUGCCUCUGAUGUCCCAGACAGUGGCAGUGGGAGUACAAAGGCUAAUAAACCCGGCCCUGGUCCUCAGAGAAUUUAUAUUUUCUGUGCAGAUAUUAAGUUAUACUGUCAUAUAUGGUGUUGACAAACAUUGAUACAGAUUUCCUGUGAAGUGCAGAAGCACCGUCGUAGAAGCAGAGAAGCAGAGAUGCAGAGGCAGCACUGGUGACUCACACAUGGAGAGCUGGAGUUCUUGGUCUAGUGGGAUAAACUGACCUGGACAUCAUUUCAGUGCAGCGGAGUGAGUGCUGGGAUGGGCUCCCUCGGGGCAUCUGGGGCUGGGUUUGUCUGGUGUUUAGUCUCCUGCCUGGUCCUUAGAGUUUAUCAGUAAGAUGAGCAUUGGGAGGUUUCUAAGUGAAAGGAAAGGCAAUCACUUACCUGAAACCUGAAAUUUGUAGGUGUUCUGGGCCAUUUGUAAUUCACUGAAUCUGUUUUGUCAGAGCAAGUCUAUCAUCUCUUUUGGAUGGAGUGUGGCCAGCCCUGCCUUGCGAUGUAAGGAAAUCGGGAAACGCUUGUCAGUUAGGAAUUAGGUGCAUCCUGUGGUCAAGAAAAUAACUGAUGGUGGUCACCAAGUAGUUUAAAACCAAGCAGGACCUCAUUUUAUCACGUGUUGUGGGCAGUUGACCGGUUGAAGAAUGCAUUGCUAUUAUGUGAGGAACAUUGGCCUUUGAAAAAGCAGAACUAGAUCCACGUUCUUGCCUGGUUUUUCGGAGUGACUGAAGAAUUCAAGGAGGCUGUGUUUUGUGGAAAGAAGACCUGAGGGGUGUAUGGUCUUUCCAGGCUUGGAAUCUGCCAUGCUGGGCUUCUGAAUUGUAUAGCUUGGCCAUAUAGAGAGAAGCCCGUCAUUUAAGAUUUAUUCUUUGGGAGAAAUAAAGGAAGGCCGCCCACAUGAGACAGGCAGAGGCGACUUUCUCAGAGCUGCUGUGGCAAGGGAGUCGGCACCGUCACUUGCGUGUGGCAGAGACUGACAUGUAAGUGAGUGGCGGAUGAGGAGUGGGGAAGCUUCAGGAUGGAAAAGAACGGCUCCCAGUGGAGGCUGUUGUGGGGGCUGGAGGCGGCUGUGCAGAAGUGGGGUGUCCUAUGUGAUUGGUUAGGGGUGCAUUUGGCUUUCUCUGAAUGAUCCUAACUGAAAAUAGGGGCCAAAAUUAGGGUGGCUGUCAGUUUUGAGUCAAGUCCUGGCCACGUGGGACAGAGUUGUGGUUUAGUUUCUGGGUUGUGGAGAGAGAGCAGUCUGGCUUCCUGUCUGAUGUACUAGCCUGGCUGGCCUCCUGGCUGUUUCCUGUAGAUAGGGGUUUGGUUUCCUGGGUGGGCAGCUACAGGUUGUGGUCUGAGUUCUGUCUUUAUACAUAUGAUCAGGCAUGGUCUGUGUGUAUAUUCAGUCCCUCAUUUUUCUUGUCAGUAAAAAUAUCAAAUGACAAAUUGGACACAUUGGGAACUUUUUAGAUGUCUGUGUCCCCUGGAGGAAGCUUUCACGUUCACAUUUAAUCACAAUGAAUAUAAACAAUUGGGCCAUUUAUCUUGAAGAUUUAAAAUAGGAAAUCUUCAACAAUACUACCUCAGCGCCAUUGCCUCUCUGUCCAUCGUUAGGGAAUGUGUUUUAGCUCCCACUGCCCUGGUGUGAGGAAACAAGAGAAAGGUGGCUGUCUGCAAGCCAGGAAGAGGUCCCUGUCCCAGAACUGAGUUGGCCGACACCUUGAUCUUGGACUUCCAGUCUCCAGAGCUGUGAGAAAUAAGCUAACGUUUAAACCACACAGCCUAUGGUGUUUAUUAUGGCAUUUGCCUAUGGUAUUAUGGCCAUCUGAUUUGACUGAUACAGAGAUGGUUCCAGAAUACUGUAGCCUGUGUUUAAGUUGGUGAUGCUAUGAAAAUAAAUGUGGUAGUUCAUUCCUUUAUAUGAAGAUAGCGCUGUGAACCCAGGGCCUUUGCUCACGUCUUAGUUGAC